GUCUAUGGUCAUGCCACCCUGAACGUGCCCAAUCUCGUCUGAUCUCGGAAGCUAAGUAGGGUUGGGCCUGGUUAGUUCUUGAAUGAGAGACCAGCUAGGAAUACCAGGUGCUGUAGGCA
rnacentral:rRNA from 1 species